AGUCAGUGUGUGUGUGUUCGCGUGUGCGUGUGCGUGCGCGUUUCUCUGUGCGUGUGUCUACCAACAUGAAAUUUUAAGUAUAUUUACAAAAUUUGCACAUGAAAUUUUUUAAAAAUUGCUGGUGAAAGUUUUACAAUUGUACCGAAAUUUUUGUGUGCAACUUCAAAAUUUGCAUGGAUAUUUAUAUGCAUUUUCCUUAGGCUGAAACUAUAACAACGAUCAAAUUUUAAAAAAUUGCAAGUGAAAUUUAUGUAUAAUUUUAAACAUUGCAGGUAAAAUUUUAUGCGUGGUUUUAAAAAUUUGCUGGUGAAAAUUUAUGCGUGAUUCUAAAAAAUUGCAGAUGAAAUUUUUGUGCGAUCAUAAAAUUGUAGGUGAAAGUUUAUGCGCGAUUCCAAAAAUUGCGGAUAAAAUUAGCAUUGUUAUUUUACGCUUAGUGCAGAAUAGAAAUCAUAAUGAAAACAAAGGAAGUGAAGGAAAAAAAAGCAAAAGAGAAAUCAAGAGAUAAAAAAGCAAAUAUAUAAAAAAACAGAUAUAAUAAAGGAGUCGAAAAUAGAAAGAAUAAUAAAUUGUGGAUAAAAAUUAUCUAGCAUUGUUAUUUUACGCUUAGUGCAGAAUAGAAGCCAUAAUGAAAACAAAGGAAGUGAAGGGAAACAAAAAAAAGAAGGAAAAAAGGAAUCAAGAGAUAAAAAAGCAAAUAUAUAAGAAAACAGAAAUAAUAAAGGAGUCGAAAAUAGAAAGAAUAAUACAAACAAAGGAAAGUCAAGGGGACCAAAAAUAAAAACAAAAAGGGAAAAGAAAGGUCAAUGGGCUUCGAACACACGACCUAGACAGAAAGACGGCCUAUACUAACCACUGAACCAACCGGGUGCUCUUGUUCAUUGUCGGUCAUUCCGCUAUUUAGCUCGUAGUUGUCUGUACACAGUACUAGCACGAAACACGACGCGGAUCCGACGGACCACGCUGUCGACUGAGAAUUACAAAUUCAAAUUCUCAGGCGACUGUUUCCUAGCAAUUCCGGAAAAAAAAACUGAAUUAGGGUUUUAUGAUGAAGGUUCCUGCGAAUGUUGGGCUAUCUUGAAACAGCAACCAUGCACACUACUACAAAACGGUCUAUAUGUAACGGCACAUCAGUAAUGGGUCCGACGUGACCAUUACUGAUGAACAACAUCAAUGUCAGUCGCGGCCGCGACCGUUACUGAUGGACAGAGCGGGGUUUGCCCGUCCCCGCCUAGCAAUGCAUACAUCAGUGGCGGUCGCGCGAGGCGACCGCCACUGAUGAACCAUCACACCUCGCGAGAGACAUCAGUGGCGGUCCGUUAAGAGAUAACCGCCACUGAUGAACCACGCAUCAUGUACCCCCUAUUAUCAGUAAUGGUCACCGAAGUCCCGACCGCCACUGAUGAGUGUCGCCCCCGCGCCGGCGGCCACCAUCUCCAUGGCCGGCAAGCUCUGAUCUUCGCGCACGAAGCUUCCCACUCCCUUGCAAGCUCUCUCUCCCUCCCGAUCUGUCUCGCCGGCCUCCAAUUUCUCUCCGAAGUUCCCCAAUUUCAAAUUUUUGAGCUCCGGUCCCCGGCCAAAAUGCGGCCUCCUCGUCGUCACCCGGAGCUCCCCUCUCCCUUGCGAGCUCUCUCUCCCUCCCGAUCUUUCUCGCCGGCCUCCAAUUUCUCUCCGAGUGUCUCUAAUUUCAAAUUUUUAGUUAGCCCCGGUUAAUUAACACCUCAAUCACCUUGUCAAUGAUUAGGCUAAUUAUUUUGCUUUGUGUUUUCUUGUGUAUUGUGUUGU
rnacentral:lncRNA from 1 species